UACGUAGGGCGCAAGCGUUAUCCGGAAUUAUUGGGCGUAAAGAGCUCGUAGGCGGUUUGUCGCGUCUGCCGUGAAAGUCCGGGGCUCAACUCCGGAUCUGCGGUGGGUACGGGCAGACUAGAGUGAUGUAGGGGAGACUGGAAUUCCUGGUGUAGCGGUGAAAUGCGUAGAGAUCCGGAAGAACACCGGUGGCGAAGGCGGCCUGCUGGGACGUGGCUGACGCUGAGGCGCGACAGCGUGGGGAGCAAACAGG
rnacentral:rRNA from 1 species